rnacentral:snoRNA from 1 species
AUUGCUUCUUACUUGUGAACACCUCUUAUAUAUGUGGGGAUGUUCCUGUUUCGGAAGCAUAUAUUAAUUCUUUUGCCAGUUUUAAACAGCGUGAUGAAUAUUUCAUUUUUGCAGCGCGCUACCUGUCUUCUGGUACAAAC